CCCUUAGAUGUUCUGGGCAGCACGCGUGCUACAAUGGUCUUCGCAAACGGAUGCAUUCUCGAAGGAGAAUGCCAAUCUUGGAAUCUAUGCCUUGGUCGGGACAGUUGCUUGCAAUUUUUCGACUCGAACCAGGAAUUCCUUGUAAUCGUGAUUCAUCACAUCACGAUGAAUACGUCCCUGCCCUUUGUACACACCGCCCGUCGCUCCUACCGAUCGAAGAGUUAGGUGAAUUGUUUUGAUCGAUAAGAUUUGACUAUGGUCAACUCUCGUUGGGAAAUUCUGUGAAUCUGACUGUUUAGAGGAAGGAAAAGUCGUAACA
rnacentral:rRNA from 1 species